rnacentral:tRNA from 1 species
GCCCAGGUGGUGGAAUUGGUAGACACAAGGGACUUAAAAUCCCUUGAACCAUGAGUUCGUGAGGGUUCAAGUCCCUCCCUGGGCA